ensembl:lncRNA
CAAAAUGAGACGUGACUUAUGUCACUACAUGUGUCUCUCUCGCCUCUGUAAAAGUUCUUUGUUCAUAGCACCCCUCAGUUCUUGGAUGUAGUGAAGGAGGACAUGAGGAUAGUUGGUGUGGGUGAGGAGGAUACAGAGGAUAGGGUUAAAUGGAGGCAGAUGAUUGGCUGUGGAGACCCCUGAAGGGAGCAGCCGAAAGGAAAAGAAGAAGAAGAGUUACAGUAGUGCCCACUAGUGGCAGCGAUGUGAAAUAACGUGAGCACUAUUUUGUGAGCGGGGGUGUCAUUCCCGCCAUAAGAACGUCAUGCGUCUGUAUCAUCCAAUGAGACUCGUCGGGGGUUUUAACCCCGCGAAACUGCAGCAGCAGAUCAGACAGUGAGUGAAGGGAGAGUGAAGAAGCUGCAGCAUGUGGUCUGCUGGGAGAAGCUGCUGCACCAGGGCAGGUUGGUGUCGAUUGCCCUUCACUGGAAGCCAAAGAAGGUGGCACAGUUACUUUUGAGUGUCGUCUGGAUCCCCCAGUCAACUUAUCAACAUACGCACUGGAUUUUAGGACAGCUGACCUCGACGAGGAGGUCUACGUGUAUCCAUCUGGGGACAGGAUUCCGACACAGAUGAUGGGGUACAGAAACAGGACGAGUCUCAUCCAGGAGCACCUGAGCAGUGGACUCAUUAGACUGAACCUGUCCCGGGUACAGCUGUCUGACAGUGGACCAUACAAAUGCUUCAUCCCCAAACUGAGGGUUGGCUGCACUUUCAACCUCACAGUUGUAAAACCGGAGGCACCAGACAGGAUAGAGGAUGAUAACAACAGUACGACAACACCUCCAGUGGAAAACCAGCCUGAGGAUGAAAAGGUUCAUUUCUCAGCCAGAGGACGUUAUGGUCUCAUUGGUGUUGGUGCUGUCCUUGGCAUCAUCAUCAUCAUCACCUUCAUCAUCCUGAAACGUAAACAGAUCCAGCAUUUCUGGAAGCAGCUCAGAGGAAGAGAGGACCAAAGAGCAGAGCCAGUGGAAGAAGAACAUGAAAUGAAGACGCUGAACGGGGAAGCACCUGAGCUGGAGUGAACCUGGAGAGUCCUGCAGGAAACACCCUGGGAGGAGUCGAGGUGGAGGAGUGAGAAUAAAACCAGAUGUUAGAGAUGCCAAAGACUUUACUGGACCAAAAAAAAAAAAAAAAAAAAAGCUGGACUGUAUUUUAAUGAACCGAUGACAUCAGGUCUUUGUCAGGUGGAUUUCAUCAAGAAUUUUAUGAAGGAUAAAUGUAUUUAUGUAAUUAUUUUGUAUUUAUUUAUUGCACUUUCAGCCUGUUAAACAGUUUUCAGACUCAUAAGACCCAGAACCAGACUCUUCUAUUUCUCCACUGCAGCUUGUACGUCUUUUAACUGAGACGAGCAAAUAUCAGCACAUUUCCCUGGUUUUAUUCUCACUCCACUGGCUGGUUGGAUCUGUGUCAGGAAGCCACCUGCAGGACCUGAAGGGGUCAUGACAUUUGGGGUCUUUUCAAGAUGAGUCCACCUAUUUCUCCAGUUGGUUCUUGUCUUCUUGAGAAUUAGCAACUCUUACAACCUAAAAGAAAUUUGCACAAGACAAAUGUAGUGUGAGGCUGAAGCAUUAUCAGGAAACACUACAAGUCACAACAUGAAGCUCGACUGGAACCAAAGAGAAAAAUCUGUUCAGGUGUUGAAUUUGACUGUAGCUUUGAAACAUUUGUGGUGUAAUGUUGAGACUCAUGUUGUUUAACUGUCAUGACUUUAACACCAGAUUCCAAGACCAAGUGUUGAAACUGAUUUGAAUAUUCAGCUUCUGUUCCUUAAAGCACUUUCAAUUUGUUUCCAGCUGCUUCAUCUAUUUAUUUUCACCUUGUUUUCUGAAACAAAUUUUAUUUAACUUUGGGUUUUUCUUCUUUCUCUUCUUUCUGUUGUUCAAUGUGCUUUGUUAUAUACAAUAAACUCUGUUGUCCCUUCAUGUCCCAGUCUGUCAUUAUUUUGAUGAUCUCAGUAUUUAGUUAUUUAAUAACUGCUUCAGCUAAAUGACAGUAAAACACACAACUGCAACUUUAUUUGUUGAGCCCUUUUAAAAACACAAAACAGGUCAAAUCUAAAUAUCAACAUCUCAGACUGUCAAAGGUCACUGAGGACAGGGGAGUUUCAUGAAGACAUUUAAAAAUAGAUCAGGAGGAGGCCUGUCUAAUGUGAAGGGCAGCUCAUUCCACAGUCCUGGUG